rnacentral:misc_RNA from 1 species
AAAAUGUUGGUCUCGUGCCAAAUCACACCUGUGUGCCACUAUUGUCUGUAUUUGGUAGUCUAGGAGGGGCGACCCGCAAGGGCCUGCCCAUAUACUCCGUGACCCAGUCAACUUUUAGUUGGUUGGUGUCGGGCUACCGCCAUUUUGAAAAACCUUUUGUUUGUUUUGUUUUGUCUGAACGAAGAGUUAAUCUUCAUUGAUUAAUGAUUUGAAUA